rnacentral:rRNA from 1 species
CCUACGGGGGGCUGCAGUCGAGAAUCAUUCACAAUGGGGGACACCCUGAUGGUGCGACGCCGCGUGGGGGCAUGAAGGUCUUCGGAUUGUAAACCCCUGUCAUGUGGGAGCAAAUUAAAAAGAUAGUACCACAAGAGGAAGAGACGGCUAACUCUGUGCCAGCAGCCGCGGUAAUACAGAGGUCUCAAGCGUUGUUCGGAAUCACUGGGCGUAAGGCGUUCGUAGGCUGUUUCGUAAGUCGUGUGUGAAAGGCGCGGGCUCAACCCGCGGACGGCACAUGAUACUGCGAGACUAGAGUAAUGGAGGGGGAACCGGAAUUCUCGGUGUAGCAGUGAAAUGCGUAGAUAUCGAGAGGAACACUCGUGGCGAAGGCGGGUUCCUGGACAUUAACUGACGCUGAGGCACGAAGGCCAGGGGAGCGAAAGGGAUUAGAUACCCCGGUAGUC